AUCCUGGCUCAGGAUGAACGCUGGCGGCGUGCCUAACACAUGCAAGUCGAGCGAGAAACCUAUGUGAUGACACUUCGGUAGAAUCUUUUAGGUGGAAAGCGGCGGACGGGUGAGUAACGCGUAGGCAACCUGCCCUUAGCAGGGGGAUAGCCAUUGGAAACGAUGAUUAAAACCCCAUAAUGCGGGAGAGUCACAUGACUAGCCCGCCAAAGAUUUAUCGGCUAGGGAUGGGCCUGCGUCUGAUUAGCUAGUUGGUGAGGUAACGGCUCACCAAGGCAACGAUCAGUAGCCGACCUGAGAGGGUGAUCGGCCACAUUGGAACUGAGACACGGUCCAAACUCCUACGGGAGGCAGCAGUGGGGAAUAUUGCACAAUGGGCGAAAGCCUGAUGCAGCAACGCCGCGUGAAGGAUGAAGGUCUUCGGAUCGUAAACUUCUGUCCUUGGGGAAGAAGGAAGUGACGGUACCCAUGGAGGAAGCCCCGGCUAACUACGUGCC
rnacentral:rRNA from 1 species